CGGCGAUACCCGAAUGGGGAAACCCAGUGUGACUCGUCACACUAUCAUUAACUGAAUCCAUAGGUUAAUGAGGCGAACCGGGGGAACUGAAACAUCUAAGUACCCCGAGGAAAAGAAAUCAACCGAGAUUCCCCCAGUAGCGGCGAGCGAACGGGGAGGAGCCCAGAGCCUGAAUCAGCAUGUGUGUUAGUGGAAGCGUCUGGAAAGGCGCGCGAUACAGGGUGACAGCCCCGUACACAAAAGCGCAUGUGCUGUGAGCUCGAUGAGUAGGGCGGGACACGUGGUAUCCUGUCUGAAUAUGGGGGGACCAUCCUCCAAGGCUAAAUACUCCUGACUGACCGAUAGUGAACCAGUACCGUGAGGGAAAGGCGAAAAGAACCCCGGCGAGGGGAGUGAAAAAGAACCUGAAACCGUGUACGUACAAGCAGUGGGAGCACCCUUUGGGUGUGACUGCGUACCUUUUGUAUAAUGGGUCAGCGACUUAUAUUCUGUAGCAAGGUUAACCGAAUAGGGGAGCCGGAGGGAAACCGAGUCUUAAUUGGGCGUUAAGUUGCAGGGUAUAGACCCGAAACCCGGUGAUCUAGCCAUGGGCAGGUUGAAGGUUGGGUAACACUAACUGGAGGACCGAACCGACUAAUGUUGAAAAAUUAGCGGAUGACCUGUGGCUGGGGGUGAAAGGCCAAUCAAACCGGGAGAUAGCUGGUUCUCCCCGAAAGCUAUUUAGGUAGCGCCUCGUGAAUUCAUCUCCGGGGGUAGAGCACUGUUUCGGCUAGGGGGCCAUCCCGGCUUACCAACCCGAUGCAAACUGCGAAUACCGGAGAAUGUUAUCACGGGAGACACACGGCGGGUGCUAACGUCCGUCGUGAAGAGGGAAACAACCCAGACCGCCAGCUAAGGUCCCAAAGUCAUGGUUAAGUGGGAAACGAUGUGGGAAGGCCCAGACAGCCAGGAUGUUGGCUUAGAAGCAGCCAUCAUUUAAAGAAAGCGUAAUAGCUCACUGGUCGAGUCGGCCUGCGCGGAAGAUGUAACGGGGCUAAACCAUGCACCGAAGCUGCGGCAGCGACACUGUGUGUUGUUGGGUAGGGGAGCGUUCUGUAAGCCUGUGAAGGUGUGUCGUGAGGCAUGCUGGAGGUAUCAGAAGUGCGAAUGCUGACAUAAGUAACGAUAAAGCGGGUGAAAAGCCCGCUCGCCGGAAGACCAAGGGUUCCUGUCCAACGUUAAUCGGGGCAGGGUGAGUCGACCCCUAAGGCGAGGCCGAAAGGCGUAGUCGAUGGGAAACGGGUUAAUAUUCCCGUACUUGGUGUUACUGCGAAGGGGGGACGGAGAAGGCUAUGUUGGCCGGGCGACGGUUGUCCCGGUUUAAGCGUGUAGGUGUGUGUUCCAGGUAAAUCCGGUUCACUUUAACACUGAGGCGUGACGACGAGGCACUACGGUGCUGAAGCAACAAAUGCCCUGCUUCCAGGAAAAGCCUCUAAGCAUCAGGUAACAUCAAAUCGUACCCCAAACCGACACAGGUGGUCAGGUAGAGAAUACCAAGGCGCUUGAGAGAACUCGGGUGAAGGAACUAGGCAAAAUGGUGCCGUAACUUCGGGAGAAGGCACGCUGACACGUAGGUGAAGUGAUUUACUCAUGGAGCUGAAGUCAGUCGAAGAUACCAGCUGGCUGCAACUGUUUAUUAAAAACACAGCACUGUGCAAACACGAAAGUGGACGUAUACGGUGUGACGCCUGCCCGGUGCCGGAAGGUUAAUUGAUGGGGUCAGCGCAAGCGAAGCUCCUGAUCGAAGCCCCGGUAAACGGCGGCCGUAACUAUAACGGUCCUAAGGUAGCGAAAUUCCUUGUCGGGUAAGUUCCGACCUGCACGAAUGGCGUAAUGAUGGCCAGGCUGUCUCCACCCGAGACUCAGUGAAAUUGAACUCGCUGUGAAGAUGCAGUGUACCCGCGGCAAGACGGAAAGACCCCGUGAACCUUUACUAUAGCUUGACACUGAACAUUGAGCCUUGAUGUGUAGGAUAGGUGGGAGGCUUUGAAGUGUGGACGCCAGUCUGCAUGGAGCCGACCUUGAAAUACCACCCUUUAAUGUUUGAUGUUCUAACGUGGACCCGUUACCCGGGUUGCGGACAGUGUCUGGUGGGUAGUUUGACUGGGGCGGUCUCCUCCUAAAGAGUAACGGAGGAGCACGAAGGUUGGCUAAUCCUGGUCGGACAUCAGGAGGUUAGUGCAAUGGCAUAAGCCAGCUUGACUGCGAGCGUGACGGCGCGAGCAGGUGCGAAAGCAGGUCAUAGUGAUCCGGUGGUUCUGAAUGGAAGGGCCAUCGCUCAACGGAUAAAAGGUACUCCGGGGAUAACAGGCUGAUACCGCCCAAGAGUUCAUAUCGACGGCGGUGUUUGGCACCUCGAUGUCGGCUCAUCACAUCCUGGGGCUGAAGUAGGUCCCAAGGGUAUGGCUGUUCGCCAUUUAAAGUGGUACGCGAGCUGGGUUUAGAACGUCGUGAGACAGUUCGGUCCCUAUCUGCCGUGGGCGCUGGAGAACUGAGGGGGGCUGCUCCUAGUACGAGAGGACCGGAGUGGACGCAUCACUGGUGUUCGGGUUGUCAUGCCAAUGGCACUGCCCGGUAGCUAAAUGCGGAAGAGAUAAGUGCUGAAAGCAUCUAAGCACGAAACUUGCCCCGA
rnacentral:rRNA from 1 species